UCUCCUGCAAUUUGUCACUAGGCCUAGCAAUAAUUUGAAUACUUGUAGCAACAAUAAUAAUAGAUCAAAUGUAUUCUGCAUUUACAAUGUACUAGGUAGUACGUGAGGUGCUAUUAACCUCUCAUUUUCUCCUCAUAUCAACCCUACAAGGUUGUAGUAACAUUUUUCCCAUUUUAUAGUUAAGUAAACUAAGGUUCAGAGAAAACAAAGGUUUAGAGAAGUGAUGAAGUCAUAUAGCCAGUAUUGGAGGUUGGGUGAAGACUUAGAUAUUCUUAUUCCAGAGCCGACACUCAGAACUACAUUCCAUAUUGGAAUUUCUUCCAUAACAUUUUUAGAUAUUUUGGGUGAGGUAUGAAGGGUGAAGGUGAACAGUUAUUUAAUGAGAAGUAAAACUCUUUUCCUUGAUCAGUGAUCUGAGACACUACAACAGAGUUAAGUAAAUUGUGUAGGAAUCCAGAGAGUUAGUGGCCAAAUAAAAAGGCCAGACCCCAUAGUUUCUUCUUUUUUUUUUUUUUUGAGAUGGAGUCUCGCUCUGUCACCCAGGCUGGAGUGCAGUGGCGCGAUCUCGGCUCACUGCAAGCUCCACCUCCCAGGUUCACACCAUUCUCCUGCCUCAGCCUCCCGAGUAGCUGGGACUACAGGUGCCUGCCACCUGGCCCCGCUAAUUUUUUGUAUUUUUAGUAGAGAUGGGGUUUCACCGUGUUAGCCAGGAUGGUCUCAAUCUCCUGACCUCGUGAUCCGCCCGCCUCAGCCUCCCAAAGUGCUGGGAUUACAGGCGUGAGCCACCGCACCCGGCCUUUUUAUAGCAUAUAGAUGUUUUACUCUUUUCCACCAAUAAAUAAUAUUUAUAGUCUGAUUGUUUUUCAAAAGAAUCUCUUAACAAAAGGAUUUCACUGAACAUUAGUCAAUGCUGGGCACAUAGUAAGUGCUUAAUAUUUGUUAAAUGAGCAAAAUUUUUCCAUAUCUGAACAGGGUAUUUGACAUGGUUAUUUGCUCCUAUGAACAUUUAAUGAGGCUGUUUAAUGCUUCGACAAAUUUACCAUUGCUAAUUUUACAAUGAAAACUAUGUUAAUUUAAAUCUAACUUUGGACGUGUGGUACCGGAUAAAAGUUAAUAGCCUUUUUUUGCACAGCAAAGGAAACAAUCAACAAAAUGAAAAGGAGGCCUACGCAUUAGGAGAAAAUAUCUGCAAACCAUGUAUCUGAUAAGGGGUUAAUAUCAAAAAUAUAUAACGAUGCAAUGCCAAAAAAUUGAAUAACCUAAUUAAAAAAUGGGCAAAGAACCUGAAUAAACAUUUCUCAAAAGACAUAAAAAUGGCCAACAGGUAUAUGAAAAGAUGCUCAACAUCACUAAUCAUCAGGAAAAUGAAAAUCAAAACCACAAUAAGAUAUCACCUCACCCCUUUUAGGAUGGCUAUUAUCAAAAAAACAAGAGAUAACAAGUGUUAGUAAGAGUGGGAGGAAAAGGGAACCCUUGUACACUGUUGGUGGAAAUGCAGAUUUGUGCAGCCCGUGUGGAAAACAGUAUGGAGGUUUCUUAAGGAAUUAAAAAUAGAACUAGUAAUAUGACCCUGCAAUCCCGCCUCUUCUGAGUAUCUACUCAAAGGAAAUGAAAUCACAAUCUUAUUAAAAAAAUCUGCAUUCCCAUAUUCAUUGCAACAUUAUUCACAAUACAAGUUAUGGAAGCAACUGAAGUGCCUGUUGACGAAUAAAGAAACUAUGAUGUGGGUGUGUGUGUAUGUAAUGAAAUAUUCAUCCUUGAAAAAGAGAGAGAUCCUGCCAUUUGCAAAACAUUAAUGAACUUAGAGGACAUUAUGCUAAGUGAAAUACGCCAGACACACAGAGAAAAACACUGCAUGAUCUCACUUAUAUGUGGAAUUAAAAAAAAAACAUAAUGAAAAACCAAAAAAUGCAACAACAAAUACACAGAUAGCAACAAAGAGCAGAAUACUGGUUACCUGGGGCAGAGAAAAUGGGAAGAAUUAGGUCAAAGGGUAUAAAGUUUGCAGCUAUGUAGGCUAAAUCUAGAGAUCUAGUGUACAACAUGAGGACUAUGGUUAAUAAUAUUUUAUACUGGAAAUUUCCAAGGGAGUAGAUUUUAGAUACUCUUACUAUGAAGGAAAAGAGAAGGGAAGAGAGGGAGGGAGGGAGGGAGAGAAGGAAGGAGGGAGGGAGAGAAGUAUAUGAGAUAACAGAUAUGUUAAUUUGCUGGACUGUAGUAAUCAUUUCACUAUGUAUAUCAAAACAUCAUGUUAUAGACCUUAAGUCAUACACAGUAAUCUCUCGGUAUCCAUGGGGGAUUGGUUCCAGGACCUCCUACAGACAUCAAAAUCCAUGGAUGCUUAAAUCCCUGAUAAAAGAGGGCACAGUAUUUGUAUAUAACCUAUGCAUAACCUUCCAUGUACUUUAAAUCAUCUCUAGAUUACUUGUAAUACCUAAUACAAUGUAAAUCCUAUGUAAAUAGUUAUUACACUAUAUUACUUAGGGCAGGGGUCCCCAACCCCCAGGCCACGGAGCAGUACUGGUUUAUGGCCUGGUAGGAAGUAGGCCGCACAGCAGGAGGUGAGUGGCAGAUGAACAAGCAUUACCGCCAGAGCGCCACCUCCUGUUAGAUCAGUGGUGGCAUCAGAUUCUCACAGAAGCACAUACCCUAUUGUAAACCGUACAUGCAAGGGAUCUAGGUUGCGUGUUCCUUAUGAGAAUCUAAUGCCUGAUGAUCUGUCACUGUCUCCCAUCACCCCCAGAUGAGACCAUCUAGUUGCAGGGAAACGAGCUCAGGCUCCCACUGAUUCUACAUUAUGCACUGGGUGAAGGCAGUCUACUUCAGGAGAAGCAAUGUGAUUUACCAAGCUAAGUAUUUCAUUUUUUCUAUCACAAAGGAUGGGAGGGUGGAUGUGUGAAUCUGUGCACUUUAAGAAGUGAUUUUUUCAAAAGCAGUCUAAAAUAAAACUAAGUUCAGAGAUUCUUAUUUUGAAUGUUUUAUUAUGUUGAAUUUAAAUAUAAACUCUUCAGAGUAUAAAAACCAGGUAAAUCUUACAGCUGACGCAGAGAUAGAAGCCUGUUAACACAUAUACAUUACUAUCUUAAACUACCUUCUUAAACCGAUCAGUUUAACUUACCAUAACGGAAAUAUCUAAAAUUUAGAAAAGGAACAAAGUUUUUAUUUCCCUAAAGCCCUUAAUUCAGGUCUUAGGCUAGAACUUCAUUUUUUAAAAGUUAUUUUUAAAAAAUAUUUAAUACUUUAUUCAUACAGAAAUGCCCUGUAUUGUAUGGACUCUGUAUUAUAUAGUCUGUAGCUGUGCUGAGGACAGUGUUGACUACUAAAGGCAAAGUCUUAAAAUGAAAAGUUCAUCUACUGUUAGGCAAGUCCCAUUAAGUUAGGAAGUUAUUAGACCCCUGGAAGCUGAUGCCUGAUUUCCUCCUCAAAAUUUUUUUAACUUAUUGACAGAUAAAAAUCUGCUCUGCUGUAAUCAAGAGAUUUCCUGUUGAGAUUAAAACUGAGAACUUCAUUUUUUAAAUAAAGAAUAAUCAAAACAAUUUUAUAAACUGAGUGGCUUUCCAAAGCUAAUUUUCUACUAGAUGCAAUGAAAUUAUAGAUAGUAUUACUGUUCUCAAUCAUCAUUUUAGUUUGUUUUAAAAUCAGUCAUAUUUCUAGGGUUUUUUUCUAUAUUCCCCCAAUAAAAAGGCAAGUCAACUAUGUAAUCUUCAUUAUUAAUAUGAUGACCUAACAUAUUAUGCAGGUGCUCAGUUGCUGAGGUUAGCAUGUCAGAAUUGAUCAAUGAAAAAAUUCAUAGUUUGAAUCACAGUGGACUCCACCUGCCACAUUAAAGCAGUAGAACAGAAGAGACAUGAAAAUGACACAGUAUUAAUCUAUCAUCUACCUUUUAACAGCUGAUGGAAACACAUACACUGUAUCUAUCAUCUAUCUACCCAUUUAUAUUUAUGUAUAUAUGUAUUAUAUAUCUUACACAUUAGAUAUGUAUUAUACACAUUAAAAUGAGGAGCACAUAGUCAUCUAGUAUAAAAAUAGCUAAAUCACUGUGAUAAGUUCCAAGAAAGACAAGAACAGGGUGCCAGGUUUGUGUACAAUAUGAGCACCAUGGUUUCAUAAGUUGGUAGCUAAGUAUUGAAACUGACUGAUGAUGUUAUUUAUGUUUGAAUUAUAAGGUCAUGAAAUCCCAGAACCGGAAGAGAUCUUUAAAAUCAUCUAGUCCAACCAGUCAUUCACUGCUUGAAUUUUUCUUAUUAUUCACUUGACCAUUGCUGAUAUUUGACUAUUUUUUGACUUACAAACACAGCAUUUUUAUACAGUUCAACCUAAUACAAACAUUUAUUAAGUUUGGUGCUGGGCCAGGACCACAUAAGAUGGAUUAGUCAAGACAACCCUACCCAACUCUUUAUACAGGGGAGAAAUGUGAAACCAAAUAAUUAUAACAUAGUGACUAUUUGUAGAAAUAAAAUGGCUAAAGUGGCCUCACCUAUCCAAAAUGAACAGGCUUGGUGCUGAGUUGAGUGGUCAAAUUGUGUGAUCUAAUGCAACAGUUCAAAACUCCAUCAAACUCUAUGAGGCUAUUCGUAACCAAUGAGGGAUUCACUACAGAGACAUGAAUUUCGGCCACUUUCUAGCUUGAGCUCAUGGCUAAAUAGUGAAGCAUUUACUCGUGCUUCUCCAGCUUCUUGGAGAACUCACUCAUGCUGCAGGAAAAGAUUACAAUUUUACCAGUCACUUCAGUCUCUAUCCCAAAAGCUGUGUUUCCCAUAGCACAUGGCUAUGGGUUCAUAGACAUUGAAGGUUAAGUAGAAAUUACUCUUAGAAGCAACUUCUAUUGACCACGAUCCCACCUGUUAGAAAUAGGUCCUAACUGUGUAAAUGAUGAAAGGACUAUCUUUCCUUGGUAUUUAAUUCUAUUGGCUUCAGUUAGUCACUUGAAACUGCACAAGAUGGAGAUGAAUUCCUUAAUGUUCUUAUUUCAGCACAUAACAUACACAGUGCUAGGCUGGCAUCAGAAAAUAGAUAUGCUAUGGCCCCUGUCCUCAAGUUAUGCUAAAGUCCUCUUAAGUCUAAAUACUUUAAAAAGGUUUGAUGAGUGUAAUAUAUUCAUCCAUCCAUCCAUCAUUUAUGAAGCACUGACUAACGUCAGGCAUUUUCCUGAACUCUGGGAUAAGUGGGAAAUAAGACAAAGUCCCUGCUGCCACCCCACCCUUACCAUGUAUAUAUUUAUUGGAACAAUAUACUGAAUUUUCAAAAGGACAUUCCACUUAUGUGCUUUUUUCAUUUGUUUCAGCAACCGGAGAAAACUGUAUCACUCAGAAUCUGAGUGGUGGCAGAGACUAUAACUGCCUUGUUCGCUGCUAUAUCUGCAACGCUAAAAGUAUACUGUCUGCCACAUACAACUGGAGAGCCUGUAUCACUCAGAAUCUGAGAGGCAGCUCCUGACUUGAAAAUGAUCAUUGUGUGUAAUGUGUGAGCAGUUUCCAAACAUCUGUGUCCGAGAAUACGGAGGGGCCAGGGAGAGGAAGAUCAGUGUGUGUGUCUGAGAGUGUGUGUGUGUUUUAAGGGAGAAGGGAAUAGAUUGAGUAAGGAAAGGAGAGGAACAUAUUCUCAGUAUCAGCAGUCUGGCCCCAAAUUUUGUGUUGUUUGGAAGAAAUCAAAUUCAAGAGAAAAUGAGGGGCCCCUUUCCUCAGUUCAGCGGCUACUUAUUUUCCUCCUCUAUUUUUAAACAUAUUUAAUAUUAAAUAGGCCAAUGAAUUUAAUCAGACCCUAUAUUUUAUAUAAAGGAAGAAAGAGAAGAAAAACCAGUAUUACAAAUAUAUAGUCUUUGGUUUGUAGAUAUGCUAUAUUUUUUUUCUGUAGAAUAUUAUCCUUUAUCCAAACCUUUGAAAAUUAUGGUCCUGAUUAUUUUUUAAAAGAAAAUAAAUUCCCCAAAGGAAAAUUUAAG
rnacentral:lncRNA from 1 species